GGGGAAUAUUGCGCAAUGGGGGAAACCCUGACGCAGCAACGCCGCGUGAAGGAUGAAGGUUUUCGGAUCGUAAACUUCUUUGAUGAGGGACGAAUAAUGACGGUACCUCAAAAACAAGCCACGGCUAACUACGUGCCAGCAGCCGCGGUAAUACGUAGGUGGCGAGCGUUGUCCGGAAUUACUGGGUGUAAAGGGCGUGUAGGCGGGGAUACAAGUCAGAUGUGAAAUACCGUGGCUUAACCACGGGGCUGCAUCUGAAACUGUGUCUCUUGAGUGUCGGAGAGGAAAGUGGAAUUCCCAGUGUAGCGGUGAAAUGCGUAGAUAUUGGGAGGAACACCAGUGGCGAAGGCGACUUUCUGGACGAUAACUGACGCUGAGGCGCGAAAGCGUGGGGAGCAAAC
rnacentral:rRNA from 1 species